rnacentral:rRNA from 1 species
UACGGGGGGGGCAAGCGUUGUUCGGAAUUACUGGGCGUAAAGGGCCCGUAGGCGGCCCACUAAGUCGGAUGUGAAAUCCCCAGGCUUAACCUGGGAACUGCAUCCGAUACUGGAUGGCUUGAAUUCGGGAGAGGGAUGCAGAAUUCCAGGUGUAGCGGUGAAAUGCGUAGAUAUCUGGAGGAACACCGGUGGCGAAGGCGGCAUCCUGGACCAACACUGACACUGAGGAGCGAAAGCCAGGGGAGCAAACGGG